rfam:Pseudomonas sp. VI4.1 NODE_77_length_30560_cov_25.602, whole genome shotgun sequence.
GGGGGUGUGCUACUCAGCCCGUUUCUGAUUUAUGUGCUGCUGGCGCUGCUGGUGACCGGCGGCUUGCGCCUGUUGUUGCGCCUGACGCCGGUCGGCCGCUGGAUCUGGCACGAAGCAUUAUUCGAUUGCGCCUUG